ACCAGACUCCUACGGGAGGCAGCAGUGGGGAACAUUGCACAAUGGGGGAAACCCUGAUGCAGCAACGCCGCGUGAGUGAAGAAGUAUUUCGGUAUGUAAAGCUCUAUCAGCAGGGAAGAAGAUGACGGUACCUGAUUAAGAAGCCCCGGCUAACUACGUGCCAGCAGCCGCGGUAAUACGUAGGGGGCAAGCGUUAUCCGGAUUUACUGGGUGUAAAGGGAGCGUAGACGGCAGCGCAAGUCUGAUGUGAAAGGCGGGGGCUCAACCCCUGGACUGCAUUGGAAACUGUAAAUCUUGAGUGCCGGAGAGGUAAGCGGAAUUCCUAGUGUAGCGGUGAAAUGCGUAGAUAUUAGGAGGAACACCAGUGGCGAAGGCGGCUUACUGGACGGUAACUGACGCUGAGGCUCGAAAGCGUGGGGAGCGAACAGGAUUAGAUACCCGAGUA
rnacentral:rRNA from 1 species